CAAGUCGAGUGCGCAGCUUCCUGUAGCAAUACAGGGAGUGGGCGCACGGCGCACGGGUGCGUAACACGUGGGCAAUCUGCCCUCGGAUGGGGGAUAACUCGUCGAAAGGCGAGCUAAUACCGCAUGACAUUCCGAAGACUCCGGUCUUUGGACUCAAAGGCCGCAAGGCCGUCUGAGGAGGAGCCCGCGCCCGAUUAGCUAGUUGGUGAGGUAACGGCUCACCAAGGCUUUGAUCGGUAGCCGGUCUGAGAGGAUGGCCGGCCACACUGGAACUGAGACACGGUCCAGACUCCUACGGGAGGCAGCAGUGGGGAAUAUUGCGCAAUGGGCGAAAGCCUGACGCAGCGACGCCGCGUGGGGGAUGAAGCUUCUCGGAGUGUAAACCCCUUUCGACCCGGACGAAUGACCCGCAAGGGUUUGACGGUACGGGUAUAAGAAGCCCCGGCUAACUACGUGCCAGCAGCCGCGGUAAUACGUAGGGGGCCAGCGUUGCUCGGAAUUACUGGGCGUAAAGGGUUCGUAGGUGGUGCGGUAAGUUGGGAGUGAAAUCUCUGGGCUUAACUCAGGGGCUGCUUUCAAAACUGCCGUGCUCGAGUGCGAGAGAGGUCAGUGGAAUUGCAGGUGUAGCGGUGAAAUGCGUAGAUAUCUGCAGGAACACCCGUGGCGAAGGCGGCUGACUGGAUCGCAACUGACACUGAGGAACGAAAGCUAGGGGAGCAAACAGGAUUAGAUACCCUGGUAGUCCUAGCCCUAAACCAUCAGAACUUGGGGUAGCCCGCGUAGGCGGGUUUGUCCCGUAGCUAACGCGUUUAAGUUCUGCGCCUGGGGA
rnacentral:rRNA from 1 species